UUAAAUUAAGUGUUUUUGUUGAUUUGAUUACUGUUUUAUAAGAACGUGCAAAAUGACAUAUUUCUUCUUGUAAUCUUCAUAGUUAAUAUUAACUUUGUCAGCUAAAAACUUUAAACUUUCAUUCAAAUAAAUUGAACUAGAUUUAAUUUCAUCAAAGCACCGUAGAUCUAAAUAAGCUAAAGCGUUAGUUAAACUUUUAUUUUUUCCAAAUCGCUCAUUCAUAGCCAUUCCUGUUACAUCAUAAAUAUAAUAUAAUAAAAAAAGUAUUUGGCCAACAUACGCAUUAUGAGCGUAUGCAAUUUAAUUUAAAUUUUGAUAUAUUUCGUAAACAUUUGAAGGAACUUUAAAUGCUUAUAAAUAAAAAUUGUGACUAACGAUUUAUUUUGAUUUUUUACUACGAUAAGUACAACUUAUAAUAAACCUUGUAUUAAAUUUUAAAGAUUUUUUGGAUAGCCAAUUUUUUUUUAUUGGCAUUUGAAGAAAAAAAAACUAAGAAAAGUGGAAAAUUUAAAUUGUCUAUAGGUAGCUUAAAAAAGGUCAAAAUAUUUUGAAAAUUUAACCGCAAAUAGAUAACCAUAAUAUAAACAUUUGGUAAAAAUUACAAGUAUUUACAAUGAUUCGUUUUUUCGUAAAAUUGCAGUUUUUCUGUUUUUCUCGAUUUUUUUGAAAACUGUUGGAAAAUGUUUACUUUUGACCCCCCAACGUACCAACUAGAUGAAUUUUCCGAAGCAUUAUUACUUCUCCAAAAAGUGAUGAUUACAAUAUACAAUUUUAUAUUAACUUGUGUUUUUUAAUCAACUAAAAUUUAAAAAAAAAAUUUGUUCUGGUGGGGGGGGGGGUAGGUUUCUGUAUAAGGUGUACAGAUUUUGCUAAAACGUAUAAUCCCCUACCAAACCAAAUUCCUAAUUAUGCCACUGGGUAGUGGGUAGUAUAGAACUAUAGUGUAUAGAUUUAGUUUGUAUUUUAUAAAAUUGUUUUAAUUUUUAAAUGUCGUCGAGGCAUUCUGAAAGCGGUGCUUCUAAAAGAAGAAGAAAAGAAUUACAAAACAAAGAACUAAAAAAAUACAAAGGGUUAAUGAACGAAUUUGUGCUAAAUUCAGGAAAAGCACAAACUGAAUAUAAUAUGUCCAGUAAAAGUGGUACCAACUAUUCUUCAAGUAUAAAAUUCCAUCAAAUAAACAAGGAAUACAACAAACUGAAUAUAAUAUAUCCAGUAAUAGUGGUACCAGAUGUUGUUCAAGUAUAAAAAUUUUAUCGGUUCUACUAGGAAUAGAACAAACUGAAUAUAAUUUGCCCUGUGAUAGUGGUACUAGCUGUUCUUCAAGUAUAAAAAUUUAAUUUCAUCUUAUCUACUAGGUUUGGAGUUAAAUUUAAAUGAUGAAUUUCCAACAGAUCGUGGAAAAUUUGAUGAAACAAUUACCAAUACAAAUCUGAAAAGACAAAUUAUAAUGUUUGGGGCGUUUGGGCCCUAUAAACCAAAUAUCAAAUUUCCUGAUAAUUUACCAACAUAUUUUAAUAACUCUGAUCCCAAAAGACGUACAUUUUCUUCAGAAUAUUAUUUUGUCACAAAUCCCACUGGCAUUAAAAUACCAAGGUUAUGGCUAUGCUAUUUUGUUGCUCUAAAUAAAGCUUACUGCGAAAUCUGUUGGCUUUUUGCAAAUAGGAAAAAUCCUAAGUUAAAGUUAAAUUGGGUAAACGAAAUAAAUGAUUGGCAGCAUAUAUCUCAAAAGAUUCAAGUGCAUGAAUUGUCUACCCAACAUGAAGCCAUUAAAUUACGAGUUCUUUGGGUAAAAAAUCAGACGAUUGAUAAGAAACUCGAAGAGUAUAUUUCCGAUGAAGCUCGAUAUUGGAGAGAUAUUCUUAUACUUUUAAUAAAGAUUAUUUUAUUUUUAAA